rnacentral:rRNA from 1 species
CCUACGGGAGGCAGCAGUGGGGAAUAUUGCACAAUGGGGGAAACCCUGAUGCAGCGACGCCGCGUGAGUGAAGAAGUAAUUCGUUACGUAAAGCUCUAUCAGCAGGGAAGAAAAUGACGGUACCUGACUAAGAAGCCCCGGCUAACUACGUACCAGCAGCCGCGGUAAUACGUAGGGGGCAAGCGUUAUCCGGAUUUACUGGGUGUAAAGGGAGCGUAGACGGUGCGGCAAGUCUGGAGUGAAAUGCCGCGGCUUAACUGCGGAACUUCUUUGGAAACUGGCGAACUAGAGUGCGGGAGGGGUAAGCGGAAUUCCUAGUGUAGCGGUGAAAUGCGUAGAGAUUAGGAGGAACACCGGUGGCGAAGGCGGCUUACUGGACCGUAACUGACGUUGAGGCUCGAAAGCGUGGGGAGCAAACAGGAUUAGAUACCCCAGUAGUC